rnacentral:rRNA from 1 species
CCUACGGGUGGCAGCAGUGGGGAAUAUUGCACAAUGGGCGCCAGCCUGAUGCAGCCAUGCCGCAUGUAUGAAGAAGGCCUUCGGGUUGUAAAGUACUUUCAGCGGGGAGGAAGGUGUUGUGGUUAAUAACCACAGCAAUUGACGUUACCCGCAGAAGAAGCACCGGCUAACUCCGUGCCAGCAGCCGCGGUAAUACGGAGGGUGCAAGCGUUAAUCGGAAUUACUGGGCGUAAAGCGCACGCAGGCGGUCUGUCAAGUCGGAUGUGAAAUCCCCGGGUUCAACCUGGGAACUGCAUUCGAAACUGGCAGGCUAGAGUCUUGUAGAGGGGGGUAGAAUUUCAGGUGUAGCGGUGAAAUGCGUAGAGAUCUGGAGGAAUACCGGUGGCGAAGGCGGCCCCCUGGACAGAGACUGACGCUCAGGUGCGAAAGCGUGGGGAGCGAACAGGAUUCGAUACCCGCGUAGUC